AACUAUGACUCCAAAGUGUUUCUUUGAGUCAUAAUGCCUCCUGGGCUAUGCUUGCCAGCACAAACUAGCUCAGAGUGUAGGGGUUUUUUUAUUGCAGCCAGAAGAAUGUUUUCACUUUGUUUUGUUAAAUAUAAAUGUUUGAAAGAACACUUUAAAGCUUAGAAUGUGUUACUUCCUUUUCUUGAAACGCAGCUAUUCUAAAAAGAGUGUACCAGGUGUGACUGUGGAUGCGGAUGUGUAUCCUUUGAACUGAUUACAGCAUGAACUUGAAAAAUCUAUAGCAACAGAAAUGCUUUUCAGAAUGCAGAACAGCGUUGGAGAACUGUAUCUUGAAACAGGACUGAUGCCGAAAGGAUUCUAUUAUGCCCAGAAGUCAUGGGAUACCCUGGGAUGUCUGCCAUCAGAUGACUUACAAAAGAAUACAGACAGAGUAAAGCAAAAGGACAACUACUGCAUAGUCAAUCUGGCUUUCAAGUUAAACAAGAAGCAAUAGGAGUUUUGAAGAGAUCAUUGGAUUUAAGGGUUAGUUUUCUUGGUCCCACUCAUCCUCACAUCUUUGAAAUCCAGUGGCAAGUUGCUAUUUACUUUCCAAUCCAUAGAGUAAUUCAUACAGGUACAAUUACUUCUUGGAAAAUCUUGACUUUUUUUUCAGUCUACCAAAGGAAGUUGAAAAAAAUUACCAUGAUAGUGGACCAAGAUUUGGAUAUAGAAGUCAGAUGGAAGAAAGUCCCCAUUGUGCCUUACAUUUGCAGAAGAAAAUUUCUCAGGACAGACUUAAGAACAAAACUCAGAGUUGCUUUACUGUGAGAUCUCCAGUUAGCAGUUUUACUAAACUUCAGAGGACCAUAAGCAUGGAAUCACUUCAGUCUAGAAAUUCAACUGAAGAUGCAUUGAAAAAUAUCUCAAGAAAAAGUGAAAGUAUUUUUAAAGUUGUUCGUUGCAGUACUAAAUGUGAUGAUAUUAAAAUAUAUCUCUCUGACAAUGUCA